rnacentral:rRNA from 1 species
GUCGGUGGUCAAUAGCUGCAGGGAAACGCCCGGUCCCAUUCCGAACCCGGAAGCUAAGCCUGCACACGCUGAUGGUACUGCAA